GACGAACGCUGGCGGCGUGCCUAAUACAUGCAAGUAGAACGCUGAAGAGAGGAGCUUGCUCUUCUUGGAUGAGUUGCGAACGGGUGAGUAACGCGUAGGUAACCUGCCUUGUAGCGGGGGAUAACUAUUGGAAACGAUAGCUAAUACCGCAUAACAAUGGAUGACACAUGUCAUUUAUUUGAAAGGGGCAAUUGUUCCACUACAAGAUGGACCUGCGUUGUAUUAGCUAGUAGGUGAGGUAAUGGCUCACCUAGGCGACGAUACAUAGCCGACCUGAGAGGGUGAUCGGCCACACUGGGACUGAGACACGGCCCAGACUCCUACGGGAGGCAGCAGUAGGGAAUCUUCGGCAAUGGGGGCAACCCUGACCGAGCAACGCCGCGUGAGUGAAGAAGGUUUUCGGAUCGUAAAGCUCUGUUGUAAGUCAAGAACGGGUGUGAGAGUGGAAAGUUCACACUGUGACGGUAGCUUACCAAAAAGGGAUGGCUAACUACGUG
rnacentral:rRNA from 1 species